rnacentral:rRNA from 1 species
UACGUAGGGGGCUAGCGUUGUCCGGAAUCAUUGGGCGUAAAGAGCGCGUAGGCGGCCAGAUAAGUCCGGUGUGAAAGUCACAGGCUCAACCUGUGAAUGCCGCUGGAAACUGUCUGGCUAGAGUCCGGAAGGGGCGAGUGGAAUUCCUGGUGUAGCGGUGAAAUGCGUAGAUAUCAAGAGGAACACCUGAGGUGAAGACGGGUUGCUGGGCCAACACUGACGCUGAGGCGCGAAAGCCAGGGGAGCAAACGGG